GGCUACCUGGCGCAAUGGUAGCGCGUUUGGCUUCGAUUGCAUUCCUACCAAAAGACCGCACGAUCGAGACUCUCGAUGUUCA